GAUGAACGCUGGCGGCGUGCCUAAUACAUGCAAGUCGAGCGAACGGACGAGUAUCUUGCUUCUCUGAUGUUUGCGGCGGACGUCUGAGUAACACGUGUAUAACCUACCUAUAUGACUUGGAUUACUUCGGGAAACCUUUUCUAAUACCGGUUAAUAUUUUCAUCCUUUUUGUUCAAAAGUUAAUGUCGUUCUUUCUGUCACUUAUAGAUUUUUCCGCGCUGCAUUAGCUAGUUGGUAAUGUAACGGCUUACCAAGGCAACGAUGCAUAGACGAAGUGAGAGGGGGAUCGGACACACUGGAAGUGAGACACGGAACAGACUACUACGGGAGGCAGCAGAAGGGAAUAGUACGAAAGGGGCGAAAGCAUGACGGAGCAAAGCCGAGUGAGAGAAGAAGGUAUUCGGAUCGUAAAAAUAUGUUAGUAGGGAAGAAAAAAAGUGUAAGAAAAAGGGAAGAAAAUGACGGUAACGAAACAGAAAGCAACGGCUAACUACGUG
rnacentral:rRNA from 1 species